ACGUUUAGUUGCUAACGCGUGAAGGCGAGCACUCUAGACGAACUGCCGGUUGACAAAACGGAGGAAGUGGGGAUGACGUCAAAUCAUCAUGCCCCUUAUGUUCUGGGCUACACACGUGCUACAAUGGCCGGUACAGACGGACGCAAAGCCGCGAGGUGGAGCAAAUCCUAAAAAGCCGGUCUCAGUUCGGAUUGCAGGCUGCAAUUCGCCUGCAUGAAGUCGGAAUCGCUAGUAAUCGCAGGUCAGCAUACUGCGGUGAAUACGUUCCCGGGCCUU
rnacentral:rRNA from 1 species